CCUACGGGGGGCUGCAGUGGGGAAUAUUGGACAAUGGGGGGAACCCUGAUCCAGCCAUGCCGCGUGUGUGAAGAAGGCCCUCGGGUUGUAAAGCACUUUCAGUGAGGAAGAACGCCUGGUGGUUAAUACCCAUCAGGAAAGACAUCACUCACAGAAGAAGCACCGGCUAACUCCGUGCCAGCAGCCGCGGUAAUACGGAGGGUGCGAGCGUUAAUCGGAAUUACUGGGCGUAAAGCGCGCGUAGGUGGCUUGAUAAGCCGGUUGUGAAAGCCCCGGGCUCAACCUGGGAACGGCAUCCGGAACUGUCGAGCUAGCGUGCAGGAGAGGAAGGUAGAAUUCCCGGUGUAGCGGUGAACUGCGUAGAGAUCGGGAGGAAUACCAGUGGCGAAGGCGGCCUUCUGGACUGACACUGACACUGAGGUGCGAAAGCGUGGGUAGCAAACAGGAUUAGAUACCCCAGUAGUC
rnacentral:rRNA from 1 species